AACACCGGCACCUCAAGUGGUAGCCACUAUUAUUGGGCCUAAAGCGUUCGUAGCCGGCUUGGUAAAUUCCUGGGUAAAUCGUACCGCUCAACGGUGCGGAUUCCGGGGACACUGCCAGGCUUGAGACCGGGGGAGAUCAGAGGUACUUGCGGGGGAGCGGUGAAAUGUUGUAAUCCCGCAGGGACCACCAAUGGCGAAGGCAUCUGAUCAAAACGGCUCUGACGGUGAGGGACGAAACCCUGGGGCGCAAACGGGAUUAGAUACCCCGGUAGUCCAGGGCGUAAACGCUGCUGACUUGGUGUUGGGGAUCCUACGAGGAUGUCCAGUGCUGGCGCGAAGGUAUUAAGUCAGCCGCCUGGGGAGUACGGUCGCAAGACUGAAACUUAAAGGAAUUGGCGGGGGAGCACUGCAACGUGUGGAGCGUGCGGUUUAAUUGGAUUCAACGCCGGAAAACUCACCGGGGGCGACGGUUACAUGAAGGCCAAGCUGAUGACUUUGCCUGAUUUUCCGAGAGGUGGUGCAUGGCCGCCGUCAGUUCGUACCGUAAGGCGUUCUGUUAAGUCAGAUAACGAACGAGACCUCCGUCACCAUUUGCUAUUCUUCUCUCCGGAGAGGGAGCACUAUGGUGGUACCGCCACUGUUAAAGUGGAGGAAGGAGGGGGCAACGGUAGGUCAGUAUGCCCCGAAUCUCCCGGGCUACACGCGCGCUACAAAGGGCAGGACAAUGGGCUUCGACACCGAAAGGUGGAGGCAAUCCCGAAACCUGCUCGUAAUUCGGAUUGAGGGCUGCAAUUCGCCCUCAUGAAGCUGGAAUACGUAGUAAUCGCGGGUCAACAUCCCGCGGUGAAUAUGCCCCUGCUCCUUGCACACACCGCCCGUCAAACCACCUUAGUUGGGUCUGGACGAGGGUUUGUCUUCUGACACGCUCGAAUCUGGGUUCAGCGAGGAGGGUUAAGUCGUAACAAGGUAUCCGUAGGGGAACCUGCGGAUGGAUCACCUCCU
rnacentral:rRNA from 1 species